UCAGCUGGAUCUUCGCAACUAGCUAUCGAGCUAAACAGCAACCCUGGUUGUUUACUCCUGGCUAGCGUUUCCACCCACGUAGCUUGAAGCUAGCCCGGCCAGAGCUCCUAGCAUACUCCUGGGCUACAAUACCUUGACUACGACCGGUCUAUCGAUAUCACUGCAUGAAGAGGAAUAAACAGACUCACCCCAUCGCGACGUCCUCCAAAGGCUAACUCUCUAGCCCUCGCUAUCUCCUUGCUUGCUAGUUCGGCAUGCUAACUGCUAGCUUGUUUAGCCCAGGUCCGCUAACUACUACCUUGUUUACCCCGGCCUGCUAAUCUGUUAGCACAGGCCUGCUAACCGUCUUGCAUCGCCGCGUCCCUAAAACGCAGUGGCCCAUAUGUACUCUCUCUUCCCGUUUAAAAAAAAUAAAUUGUUUAUACCUUCCGGAAACCUGCCUCACCCAAUGUGAUACGGAAUCGCUAUUAUCUUUAUUUUUAGAACACACUCAAGAACCUCCAGAAGCUAACCAGCUAGCUAGCUACAAGAUAUUUAGUCAUUGUUAGUUUUCUUAACCUGGAUAACACUCGCCAGCCCAGCCCCCCUGCCCCAUCCACCGCUGCCCCCUGGACUCUGAUCACUUGGCUACAUAGCUGAUGCACGCUGGACUGUCCAUUAAUCACGUUCCACUCAGCCCCGUUGUUUUCCUGCAGUCCAACCGCAGCACAGACAACCUCUUCAUACCCAGCAGUAAGGUGCUACCGGGAGAGGCACGACAUGGGGACUCCUGGAGGGCGGAAGGGCUAGCGUUGUCCUGGUAACCAUAAAGAGGGGACACAGACACAUAUCAUUAUGGAUGCUGAUGUCACUGUUGUCAUAAAGUGCCUUACAGAAACCCAGACCCAGAUAGAGCAAGCUGUAUGCUAGACCAGACCAAGCUGUACCAUCUGGUGUUCUGAUCUGGAGAGACUCUUCUCUGUCUCGUCAGCAUCAGGAUGUUGUUGAGGCCCCCCAAUGGAUCCACGAUAGUCAUGUCUCUCUCCUGUUUGAACGAGAACAUCAAACAGAUGGUGAACUUAUUACCAUCAUCAAUUAUUACUGUCUAUUACAGUCAUAGGGUCUUAUCAGAGGCAUUAAUAUCUCUAAAUUAAUUGGGUGCCUUUUGUGUCCCUUUGAUAUUUUAAGUAUAAAUGAUGCUCCAUUAUUACAUUUUGAAAGCCUGUUAUAUAUAAUUAAAUCUCAUUUAACAGUCCCAAAAAUAUGUAGCAAUGGCAGAUUGACCCUUUAACAAUUUAUAUAGUACUGAACAUCAUAUUGAAGUGAAGAACUUCAGUAGAAUGCCCCUUAAAAACCACACAUUAGUUCAACAACUGCAUAGUUUGUGUCCCUGUUUAAGACAGUACUCACUGGUGUUAAUCUGAUAUUCUGUCUCCUCCUCUUUCACUCCCAAAACGUCUUCCUCCUUCACUGAGAUAGAACCUUUUAGAGAGGAAGAGGAUGUUUUCUCUUCUUUCCCUAUAACAGCCUCCUCUUCCUCCUUUUUCAUUCUGAAAGGUUCUUUCUCUCCUUUCACUGUAAUAUCCUCCUCUUCGUCUUUCACGACAAUGUUCAGCGCCAGAGCGUCUUUCUCCGGACAGCAGACAUCCACUUCUUUAGCAGGGGAUGAGUAGUUUAAUGAGCUCAUGGUCAGGGAUGUUAGCUAGCUAGUUAGCAUUAGCGAAUAGCCUAGUGCUAGGCUCAGUAUCAAUCUUUAACAAAUUUGCAAAUUGAACAAGCAAAUUAGGUUCAAGUUAACGUCAACUGAAAUGUGUUUUAAACACUGCGAUUAGCUAAUGCACAUUAACAUGGCCUAAAAAUCUUUCAGUUUUUAUGUUGUCUAGCAAGCUAUCGGGGUGGUUGAAAGAGUAUCCGUGUUGUUGUUCCUGAAGAAGCGUCCGUCCAGUCCAUUAUACGUCACACAAGAAGCAUCACCUGAAAGACGCUCAUCGCCAUCUGCUGGCUGGAGUGGGUAACGCAGUUUGGAAACAAUAGUUACGACACUUUUUGUAUUGGAAAGAACGUCAUAAUUAUUUAACAAUAAGCUGAUAUAUUUUCUCUUACGUCUUACAACUAAUACUUUCCUGUACACAGACGUAGAAGCGUAAUAUGAAUAUGUAGAUGAUGAAUAAAUACUUCCAUGAAUAGGAAGUGUGUUUAUACUUA